AACGAACGCUGGCGGCAGGCUUAACACAUGCAAGUCGAGCGCCCCGCAAGGGGAGCGGCAGACGGGUGAGUAACGCGUGGGAAUCUACCCAUCUCUACGGAAUAACGCAUGGAAACGUGUGCUAAUACCGUAUACGUCCUUCGGGAGAAAGAUUUAUCGGAGAUGGAUGAGCCCGCGUUGGAUUAGCUAGUUGGUGGGGUAAAGGCCUACCAAGGCAACGAUCCAUAGCUGGUCUGAGAGGAUGAUCAGCCACACUGGGACUGAGACACGGCCCAGACUCCUACGGGGGGCAGCAGUGGGGAAUAUUGGACAAUGGGCGCAAGCCUGAUCCAGCCAUGCCGCGUGAGUGAUGAAGGCCCUAGGGUUGUAAAGCUCUUUCACCGGUGAAGAUAAUGACGGUAACCGGAGAAGAAGCCCCGGCUAACUUUGUGCCAGCAGCCGCCGUAAUAC
rnacentral:rRNA from 1 species